rnacentral:misc_RNA from 1 species
GGAUGGAUCAUAAAAAAGUAGUAUGUGGUUGAAUUUACAGGCUUGUGAAAAGAAUUGUCUACCCUAUAAGAGGUACGGAUAAAGGAUGAAUCGUUUGCGACACCGAUGAAGGUCAUAUGAACAUGUGAAAAUCUUACGAUACUGAGAUGGGAAAACGUAGAAGCCGAAUACUUUUGCAAAUAGACACCAGUCAACAACUUGCAGAAUACGGAACAUUAUUUACUGCCGUUGUGCAGAUUAGUUUACCGAAAUUCUUGAUCAGCUAAUUACGUCAAAUAAUAUUUGGAGAAUCGCUUGUAUGUGGCUGACGAGAUCACCCGUUGGAUUUAAGCAUAUUAGUAAACGGAGGAAACAGAAUCAAUUGAGUCUAGUCCAAGUGGCGAACUUUCAACUGACGAAGCAAGUGCGAAAUUGUCGAUGUGACAAUGCUGUGCAUUACUGUAAUUCUCGGUAUUUUAUGCAGUGGAUAAAAGCUUAUGUGUACCAAUGGAGGUAAAAGUCCUCGACCGUCUGUAUAUAGCCAGAGUCAGUUGAGCGGAGUAGAAUAUCUUGGAAACGAUGUUCGAAUCGGUGGGUUUCCCGAUCGAACGUCAAAUAUUUUCGCAAAACGAUAGCAUAUUAGUACCGUGAGGGAAAUGUUGAAUUCGGGAGGGUUCAGUACUGAAAUUAUUCGUCAGAAAUAUUCUCGACACAAGCAUGCUUUUUCAUGGAGUUUAUUGUGUUGAGGAGACCCGUCUUGAAACACGGACCGAGGAGUUGUGAGUGUGAGCAAGGCUAUGCAAUCAAAAGCGGAGUCAGUAAUGAAGGACUGAGAGUUACCACUCACAAACCCGAAAGGAGGUGAUCUACCCCACAGGAGGAUGAAGCUAGUAGAACAACUAGUGGAGGUCCGCUGCGAUACUGACGUGCAAAUCGUUCGCUUCACUGUGGAGUAGGGGCGAAAGACUAAUCGAACCUCCUAGUAGCUGGUUCCAUU